rnacentral:rRNA from 1 species
AUUGAACGCUGGCGGCAGGCCUAACACAUGCAAGUCGAGCGGAGCGGCGGACGGGUGGGUACUGCCUAGUAAUCUGCCUGGGAGUAGGGGGUAACGUACGGGAACGGGCGCUAAUACCGCAUACUAUCAGAUGAGCCUAGGUCGCAUUAGAUAGUUGGUGGGGUAAAGGCCUACCAAGGCGACGAUCCGUAACUGGUCUGAGAGGAUGAUCAGUCACACUGGAACUGAGACACGGUCCAGACUCCUACGGGAGGCAGCAGUGGGGAAUAUUGGACAAUGGGCGAAAGCCUGAUCCAGCCAUGCCGCGUGUGUGAAGAAGGUCUUCGGAUUGUAAAGCACUUUAAGUAGGGAAGCGUUACCAACAGAAAAAGCACCGGCUAACUUCGUGCCAGCAGCCGCGGUAAUUC